GAACGCUGGCGGCAGGCUUAACACAUGCAAGUCGAGCGGGGGAAGGUAGCUUGCUACCGGACCUAGCGGCGGACGGGUGAGUAAUGCUUAGGAAUCUGCCUAUUAGUGGGGGACAACAUCUCGAAAGGGAUGCUAAUACCGCAUACGUCCUACGGGAGAAAGCAGGGGAUCUUCGGACCUUGCGCUAAUAGAUGAGCCUAAGUCGGAUUAGCUAGUUGGUGGGGUAAAGGCCUACCAAGGCGACGAUCUGUAGCGGGUCUGAGAGGAUGAUCCGCCACACUGGGACUGAGACACGGCCCAGACUCCUACGGGAGGCAGCAGUGGGGAAUAUUGGACAAUGGGGGGAACCCUGAUCCAGCCAUGCCGCGUGUGUGAAGAAGGCCUUAUGGUGUAAAGCACUUUAAGCGAGGAGGAGGCUACUUUAGUUAAUACCUAGAGAUAGUGGACGUUAC
rnacentral:rRNA from 1 species